UCAACGGAGUUGUCGAGCACAUGCGUUUAACCGUUCUCUUGGCUAACCCUUUUCAAUUGGUCAUCGCUGAACACUGCCGUCUUUCCAACUUUGUUGAAGGAAAAAAGGUUUAAAAAAGGUAUCGUAAGAAACUAAAAGAUUUUAUCAUGGCAAGUGGAGCUUCCCGAGUAGGAAUCAUGGUAUUGUCUAUUGCACAAAUUGUAUUUUUAAUCUCGGCCCUUGGCUCUGUGGGAUUUUUCUUGAAUGAAUUGAACGCAGCUUUCGAGAAAGUCAAAAGUGGAGCACCAGGUCAAGUUGCUCAACUUCUUAGCCUUUUUCUGACUGGACUCUACGGGCGUGAAGAAUUCUUCCUCUGCUCGGCCUCUGUCGCACUUGUUGUUGCCUUGUGUUCGUUGAUCAUUGGGAUAACACGGUCUCACAAUAAAGCACCAUGCGCCGCAUUUAUGAUUGCCUCGCACGUAGUACUGCUGCUUUUUCUGGUUGUAUCUUCGUCACUUCUGGCAAAACAGAAACAACCUACCACAGUAAAUCAAUAUGUGACGUCUUAGAUGAUGGAAAUGACACUGACGCUCGAUGCUAUCAGCUGAUAAUUGGAGUGGCUUCGGGUUUUCUAUCUGUUGCGUUGUUCAUUGGUAGUACAGUCAUUUACUGUGCAUCCUUAUCCCAGAUGGUUGGCAUUUCUUUCAUCAACAUGGAUAGCUAUUCCAGUUAAGCAUGAUGCAGAAGGUCAAAUAAGCAUGGCUUUCUAGAGGAGUGGUGUUGUUAUUUGUUUUCUUAUUUGUGUUUGCCAGAUUAUGGACAAAUAAAGACAUUUUUUAUUAAUCACAUUUUUAAAUUUGCAAGGCAUUUCUCCGUGUAGAUGUAUAAAAUAUAUGUAUUUCCAUGAGUAAA